CUGGGAGGACCAUCUCCUAAGGCUAAAUACUCUCUAGUGACCGAUAGUGAACCAGUACCGUGAGGGAAAGGUGAAAAGCACCCCGGAAGGGGAGUGAAAUAGAACCUGAAACCGUGUGCUUACAAGUAGUCAGAGCCCGUUAAUGGGUGAUGGCGUGCCUUUUGUAGAAUGAACCGGCGAGUUACGAUUUGAUGCAAGGUUAAGCAGUAAAUGUGGAGCCGUAGCGAAAGCGAGUCUGAAUAGGGCGUUUAGUAUUUGGUCGUAGACCCGAAACCAGGUGAUCUACCCUUGGUCAGGUUGAAGUUCAGGUAACACUGAAUGGAGGACCGAACCGACUUACGUUGAAAAGUGAGCGGAUGAACUGAGGGUAGCGGAGAAAUUCCAAUCGAACCUGGAGAUAGCUGGUUCUCUCCGAAAUAGCUUUAGGGCUAGCCUCAAGUGAUGAUUAUUGGAGGUAGAGCACUGUUUGGACGAGGGGCCCCUCUCGGGUUACCGAAUUCAGACAAACUCCGAAUGCCAAUUAAUUUAACUUGGGAGUCAGAACAUGGGUGAUAAGGUCCGUGUUCGAAAGGGAAACAGCCCAGACCACCAGCUAAGGUCCCAAAAUAUAUGUUAAGUGGAAAAGGAUGUGGCGUUGCCCAGACAACUAGGAUGUUGGCUUAGAAGCAGCCAUCAUUUAAAGAGUGCGUAAUAGCUCACUAGUCGAGUGACACUGCGCCGAAAAUGUACCGGGGCUAAACAUAUUACCGAAGCUGUGGAUUGUCCUUUGGACAAUGGUAGGAGAGCGUUCUAAGGGCGUUGAAGCAUGAUCGUAAGGACAUGUGGAGCGCUUAGAAGUGAGAAUGCCGGUGUGAGUAGCGAAAGACGGGUGAGAAUCCCGUCCACCGAUUGACUAAGGUUUCCAGAGGAAGGCUCGUCCGCUCUGGGUUAGUCGGGUCCUAAGCUGAGGCCGACAGGCGUAGGCGAUGGAUAACAGGUUGAUAUUCCUGUACCACCUAUAAUCGUUUUAAUCGAUGGGGGGACGCAGUAGGAUAGGCGAAGCGUGCGAU
rnacentral:rRNA from 1 species